CCUUGCUGGCUCUCUGCAUCCAGGGGGUCUUCUCCAUCAUCGAAUUUCUUCCGCAUUUCUAGGAAAAAAAUCAAUAAAUGAAGACCCAGGCAUCUGGGAUGAUGGCCCCAGCCAGCCCCCUGUGGGGAGCUCGUGCUCCCUUAACUCUCAACUCAAGAGGCCCCUCCCUGAAGAUGACUCCUGAGUGAAGUCUGAUGGAGCUGUGUCAUCCCACUGCUGCACAGGCAGGAGGGGCAGAGUCCUCAAGGCACAGUAAUUUCUAAACUACCAUGAUUCAAUUCUUUCUUGGCAUUAAAACAUAAGACAAGUUGAUAGUUCAACGGUCA